UCCCAGACUCCUACGGGAGGCAGCAGUGAGGAAUAUUGGUCAAUGGGCUUACGCCUGAACCAGCCAAGUCGCGUGAGGGAUGACGGCCCUAUGGGUUGUAAACCUCUUUUGCCGGGGAGCAACGGGCGCCACGUGUGGCGUCACUGAGAGUACCCGGAGAAAAAGCAUCGGCUAACUCCGUGCCAGCAGCCGCGGUAAUACGGAGGAUGCGAGCGUUAUCCGGAUUUAUUGGGUUUAAAGGGUGCGCAGGCGGAGGUGCAAGUCAGCGGUCAAAUUGCGGGGCUCAACCCCGUACUGCCGUUGAAACUGCAUCCCUUGAGUGCGCGAGAAGUAUGCGGAAUGCGUGGUGUAGCGGUGAAAUGCAUAGAUAUCACGCAGAACUCCGAUUGCGAAGGCAGCAUACCGGCGCGCAACUGACGCUCAUGCACGAAAGCGUGGGUAUCGAACAGGAUUAGAUACCCCGGUAGG
rnacentral:rRNA from 1 species